UGUUAGGAGGGGGAGACACCAGAGCACCAACUUCUCUCACUUAAACCUUAUGACAACCUUAAGAAGUAGGCAGCAUGAUCCCCUUCUUGGAAAUGCAGAAAGAGAGAAUGGGGGAGAUUGAGAGGCUUGCAGAAUGUGACAUCAUUAGGGAGAACAGUGGUUGAGGUCCAGCAGCUCCUGCAGAUGGGUGGUGGUGGAAGGAGGAGAGAAUGGGCCACAGGCAGGCCAAGGGCAAGCUUAGCAGCACUCAACAUCCUCCAUGAACUCAACAGAAGUCAAGAACGCAGGCAGCUCAUGAUGAAGACCUGCAGUGGCCCAGGUUUACCAAGCUCAUUCACAAUUGCAGUUGGAGAAUUCGUCUUUGGUCAUUGUCUACUUUGGAAAUACGGAAAAAAACAGUUCACAUGCUUUAAAAAAGUCAUCCAAGCAGAAAAUUGGGAAGAGCAGCAGCUGUGAGAAGAGAUGUGUGCAGGGGUUACAAAUGAUUUCUCAUUAACUCCAGACGCUCUUGUUCCUGGUCACCACAGCCCCAUCUGAGAGGCAGAUGUGACAGCGCUGGCAGUGACAAUGACAGAGGAAGAGAUGGGAGGGAGAAACGGACUAGUUGGAGCCUUUAGUAUGCUAACAUGAACCACAAAUCUUCAAGAAGGAAGUACUCUGGGAUGUUUCUUCAAGACCUUUGAGCACAGGACUUUUUUUUUUUUUUUUUUUGAGACAGUGUCUCACUCUGUUGCCCAGGCUGGAGUGCAGUGGAGAAAUCAUCACUCACUGCAGCCUCGAACUCCUGGGCUCAAGCGAUCCCCCCACCUCAGCCUCCUGAGUAGUUGAGACCACAGACAUGUGCCAUCACACCCAGUUCAUUUUUUUAAAGAAGUGUUAUUGUAGAGACAGAGUCUCUUUCUAUCGCCUAGGUUGCUCUUCAACUCCUGGGCCCAAGCAAUGCCCCUGCCUGGACCUCUCGAGGUGCUGGGAUUACAGGUGUGAGCCCCCAGGCCUGGCCAGGACCUUUUGUUGGUCCUCACUCCCUCUUGCCCUCCCACUGCUCCAGGAUUUCCAUGUUCUUACUCCACAAACUGGGGAAUGCUAGGACCAUGAGGGGCCAUCAGUGAGCUCACUACAAGUCUGUGCUUGUAAACGCCACUGUGGUUUCGCCAGCUUUUCCUGAUUUCCCACGCGCCUGCCAAAGACACCCUUCCCCAGCUCCUCUUCACACAGUCUACUGCUUCUUCCUCUCCGUGGAUGAACUCACCACUUCCCCUGUAGAAAGGGUGACAUCCAAGCAGUGGGCCAGCCUUCUGCUCCACUCCAACACAUCUACGUCUACAGACUCUGUCUUUGCCAGUCCCUGAGAUGUUGGUCCUCCUUUCUAAAGCGAAAGCCAUAUUCUAGUCUAAGAUGAGAAUAAUUGUCAGAGAAGUGAAGCUACCUGUUCAAAGUUGGAGAGUUAGUAAGAGGCAGAGCUUUGGCUAGCAUUCAAGUCCCCUGAAACCUGGAUGAGGACCCCUUUCCUUGGCUCGUCACUAUCUGUAUCUUCCAUUCUGUAGUCUUAAUCCAAGAGGUUCAAGUACAUGACAGAUGAAUGUCAU